GCUUUUGGUCACCAAAAGAACACAUUGGUAAUUCUUGGCUUGGAUGGAAGCUUCUAUCGAUGUCAGUUUGACCCAGUGAAUGGUGGAGAGAUGACUCAACUGGAAUAUCACAACUUCUUGAAGCCGAAGCCAGAAGCAGCUUUCUGAAAGGACGUUCACAUUUCAAUUUCUUAUGGAUAUAUCUUGUACUUUUCUUCUCUUUUCUUUUUGGCGUUUACCCCCUAAUUAACUUAAAUGUAGAAAUGGCUGCUUUAUGUUGUAAAUAUGUAAAUAUGGAUUUGGAAAG
rnacentral:misc_RNA from 1 species